rnacentral:rRNA from 1 species
UACGUAGGACACAAGCGUUAUCCGGAGUUACUGGGCGUAAAGGGCGUUUAGGCGGGUGAUUAAGUUCGCUAUGAAAGCGCCGGGCUAAACUCGGCGAGGCUGGCGGAUACUGGUCAUCUGGAGUGAGGCAGAGGAAGGUAGAAUUCCGCGUGUAGUGGUGAAAUGCGUAGAGAUGCGGAGGAAUACCAGUGGCGAAGGCGGCCUUCUGGGACUCAACUGACGCUGAAGCGCGAAAGCAUGGGGAGCGAACGGG